rnacentral:rRNA from 1 species
GGCCUGGCUGGGCGGUCUUCCGAAAGGUUAGCACUGCUCUGGUUGGGUCUUUCCUUCUGGGGAACGUUUGUGCUCUUAAUUGAGUGCGAUCGGGAUCCAGGACUUUUACUUUGAAAAAAUUAGAGUGUUUAAAGCAGGCCUACGCUUGAAUACAUUAGCAUGGAAUAAUAGAAUAGGACU